rnacentral:rRNA from 1 species
UAGGGAAUAUUGGUAAUCUGGGAAACCGGGAACCAGCAACGCCGCGUGCGCGAUGAAGGCCUUCGGGUUGUAAAGCGCUUUUUGAGAGGAUGAGGAAGGACAGUACUCUUAGAAUAAGCCUCGGCUAACUACGUGCCAGCAGCCGCGGUAAAACGUAGGAGGCGAGCGUUAUCCGGAUUUACUGGGCGUAAAGCGUGUGUAGGCGGUUUGAUAAGUUGGAUGUGAAAGCUCCUGGCUUAACUGGGAGAGGUCGUUCAAAACUAUCAGACUUGAGAGUGGUAGAGGGAGGUGGAAUUCCGCAUGUAGUGGUGAAAUGCGUAGAUAUGCGGAGGAACACCAGUGGCGAAAGCGGCCUCCUGGCCCAUUUCUGACGCUCAGACACGAAAGCUAAGGUAGCAAACG